rnacentral:rRNA from 1 species
UACGGAGGGGGCUAGCGUUGUUCGGAAUUACUGGGCGUAAAGCGCACGUAGGCGGCUUUGUAAGUUAGAGGUGAAAGCCUGGAGCUCAACUCCAGAAUUGCCUUUAAGACUGCAUCGCUUGAAUCAUGGAGAGGCGGGUGGAAUUCCGAGUGUAGAGGUGAAAUGCGUAGAGAUCCGGAGGAACACCCGUGGCGAAGGCGGCAUCCUGGACCGGCAUUGACGCUGAGGCGCGAAAGCCAGGGGAGCGAACGGG